rnacentral:rRNA from 1 species
AAUUCGAUUAGUUUGAUCCUGGCUCAGGACGAACGCUGGCGGCGUGCUUAACACAUGCAAGUGGAGCGACGAACCAGGCUUCGGCCUGGGGCAAAGCCGCGAACGGGUGAGUAACACGUGGGUAACCUGCCCUGAUGAUCGGGACAACCCGGGGAAACCCGGGCUAAUACCGAAUGUGCCCGCGAGCCACAAGGCUCGCGCGGAAAGGAAGCUUUGGCCUCCGCAUCGGGAUGGGCCCGCGGCCCAUUAGCUUGUUGUGGGGUAAUGGCCUACCAAGGCAGCAAUGGGCAGCUGGUCUGAGAGGACGAUCAGCCACACUGGGACUGAGACACGGCCCAGACUCCUACGGGAGGCAGCAGUGGGGAAUCUUGCGCAAUGCGCGAAAGCGUGACGCAGCAACGCCGCGUGGGGGAAGACGGCCUUCGGGUUGUAAACCCCUUUCAGUUGGGACGAAGCUUCGUCGGUGAAUAGCCGGCUGGAGUGACGGUACCUUCAGAAGAAGCCCCGGCUAACUACGUGCCAGCAGCCGCGGUAAUACGUAGGGGGCAAGCGUUGUCCGGAAUCAUUGGGCGUAAAGAGCGUGUAGGCGGCCCGAUAAGUCCGCCGUGAAAGUCCAGGGCUCAACCCUGGAAUGCCGGUGGAUACUGUCGGGCUAGAGUCCGGAAGGGGCGAGUGGAAUUCCUGGUGUAGCGGUGAAAUGCGCAGAUAUCAGGAGGAAC